rnacentral:lncRNA from 1 species
GAUUUAUUUUCAGAGUGCCAAAGGAAAAGAAACAGGUUAAUCUCUUGAGGAUGAAAAUUAAAUAUCCUCUCUAAAGCACCUGCUGGGGGUUUUAGCCAUUACCUAAGAAGUUAAUAACAAGUGUGAGGGAAACACACAGCCCAUUCUUCAAGGGAAACUUCACUUUAAAACAUUAUUUAUCCCACCUGUUUCCUGCCUGGAACAAACUACAGCCCCAGGUCCCUGCUGCGUCAAAAAAGGAAGCAGCCAUGAAGCCAAAGAGACACAGCCUGGAUUUUCCUGCCAUCAGGAAGCAGUUCCUUGUAUCUCGUCAUUCUCCUCACGUUUGCUGAAGUCUAACCAUAGGGCAUGAGAAAAGGAUUGAUGGAUUUGUAUUCCCGAAGACUUUCACGAGAAUUGAUUGAUGGAUUGUUCCUGAGUACUGUUAACCUUCCCUUUGUAUGAGGCAUUCAUUUUGCCAUCCAGGUUCAACCUGUCUGAAAAGGACACCAUUGCAGCAGAGCACAGGAACCCUGCUCACCCAGAGGUGGGAGGCCCAUGGCGUCAUCUGGAUGACGUUUCCUGUUUAUAUCCUGUCCUGAGUCUUUGUACCAGUUGGAAUUCAGUUCCUGCCAACAGGAAAGCAGAGAUAAUUCAUGCAGGAAGCACUAACGGUGAGGAUGAAGCAAGAAGGGCAUUGCCUGGGCCUCUUGGUGGGCCAGGAUGUGAAUAACUUUU